rnacentral:rRNA from 1 species
CAGUAGCCACGGUAAUACGUAGGUGGCAAGCGUUGUCCGGAAUUAUUGGGCGUAAAGGGCUCGCAGGCGGUUUCUUAAGUCUGAUGUGAAAGCCCCCGGCUCAACCGGGGAGGGUCAUUGGAAACUGUUAAACUUGAGUGCAGGAGAGAAAAGUGGAAUUCCUAGUGUAGCGGCGAAAUGCGUAGAGAUUAGGAGGAACACCAGUGGCGAAGGCGGCUUUUUGGCCUGUAACUGACACUGAGGCGCGAAAGCGUGGGGAGCAAACAGGAUUAGAUACCCGCGUAGUCCCUGUCUCUUAUAC